GGCGGGGAAGGGCUCCCCUUACCGGAGAGGGACGCGGCAGCCGAGGGGCGGCCAGGGCUCGGUCUCUCCCGCCCCGCCCCGCCCCUCCCCAGGCAGCCGCCACUCGCCCGCCAGGGGGCGACUCCGCGCGUCCCGGGCGAGCCCACAGCGCGGACUGGGCCACCCUGUACACGCCUCUCCCUAGGUCACCGCCCUGCCGGCCGGUGCGCCCGGCGGGAGCGUGCGCGACCGUGGGCGCCGGGUCACGUUGGGCGGUGUAGACAACGGCGGGCGCGCGCACGUCCUGACUCAGCCUGGGCCCGCGGAGGCGACGAGAGCUGGAGGAAGCGGUGGCCGAGCCUUGUGGUCGGAAUCAUUGCAAAGGAUCCCACUUCACUAGAAGAAGAGAUCAAGAAGAUUCGUCGAGUGGCAGUAGUAAGGCUCUGGACAACACUCCGGAGUUGGAGCUCUCUGACAUUUUCUACUUUUGCCGGAAACGAAUGGAGACCAUUAUGGAUGAUGAGGUGACAAAAAGAUUCUCAGCAGAGGAACGGGAAUCCUGGAACCUGCUGAGCAGAACCAAUUAUAACUUGCAUUCCAUCAGCCUUCGGCUCACGGUCCUGUGGGGGUUAGGAGUGCUGAUUCGCUACUGCUUCCUGCUGCCGCUCUGGUGAGACAGGGCCUGUGGGAAGCGGGGCUUGCUGCUGCCCCCCCCCAUCCUGGUGCACGGCCACCUGCCUGCUCUGCUUGUGUUCCUGUUUUAGAAAGGAGGAGGGGAUGACUGUCACUGGCCAGGCCACAUGACUCCUUGGAGGGGUACACCAGUCAUUCUCUUUCAGAGACCCUUGGAUGCUCUGCAAAUCAGAUAGAAAUAGUUGGAUUUCUUAGAGACAGCUUGCUUGUCUAGAUGAUAGCAAACACACAGAGAGGAACAUCGUGUGCUUUCUGGCCACUCCUCCCUGGGCAUGGCUCAUUCAUUCCUGAAGCUUGCCUCUCGGGUACAGAGGCAAGCUUCAGUAUUGGUCUCUCAGCUUCUCUGUACCGUGUGCUGUUCUGAGUGUGUCUCAUCAGGUGCUGGUACCUUCAGGCUUCACCUUCUCUUGCUUCAGAGGAAAGCUGUGCUUCCACCGGGGUUUCUAGCCAAAGGGAAGGGGAGGGCAGCAGGGAGCAGCCCUGCAGCAGAACCGCCAGCUUAGGGAUUUUCCAGCCUUCCAGUUGCCUGAGGCCUCAGGAGAUGCUGGCAGCCGAGAGCCAGACCCACAGCGCACUGUCAGCUGGAAUUGAAAGGAUCUCUGGUUCUGAUAGGCCUGCUCGCAUUUCUAGGUGAACUCUGGUCCAGGUCCCAGGUGAUCAGGUCUUGGGGGUGGUUUUUGUGAUGCCCACUUUGAUGUUCACACCUUCGGCUCUGUACUUACAGGAUAGCUCUGGCUUUCACAGGGAUUAGCCUUCUGGUGGUGGGCACAACUGUGGUGGGAUACUUGCCGAAUGGAAGGUGAGUAGAGAAUGGGAGUCCACGCCUAAAGGGCAGUUCCUUCUGGGAAUGAUGCUCACAUAUCGAAGGCCAGGCCACUUCUUUGGAUGCAGCCAAAUUCGUGGAAUCUCAGAUGGAUUAAAUAACCCACUGGUGGCCGGGCAUGGUGGGUCACGCCUGUUAUCCUAGCACUUUGGGAGGCCAAGGCGGGCCGAUCACUUGAGGUCAGACAUUCGAGACCAGCCUGGCCAGCAUGGUGAAACCCCAUCUCUACUAAAAAUAUGAAAAUUAGCUGGGCGUGGUGGCAGGUGCCUGUAAUCUCAGCUACUUGGGAGGUGGAGGCAGGAGAAUCCUUCAACCUGGGAGUCAGAGGUUGCAGUGAGCUGAGAUUGCACCACUGCACUCCAGCCUGGGUGACAGAGCGAGAAUGUGUCUCAAAAUAAGAACAAUAAUCACACAGUGAUAACAGUGGCAUCAGCAGUUAAGUCUUUACUUUUUUGAUUUUGAUCUAUGACUGUGUUCUUUUUGCCCUUCAGCCCUCACAUUCUUCCCAUUUUCAAGACAAAAGGGAGAAGCCACAAACAUUUAGAGUCUGAAACUCAGAUGUUAGCAGAUUUUAUAGCUUGUUUAGUUUUGAGCAUUUGACUGUGUGGAUAAAGUGGUGAGACGAUACUGUUUGUAAAAUGGUCUGAAAUGUCGGGAGGCUUUGUCUGUUUAUGAAGAAUAUUUUCCUCCCUUCGGGAAGUUCUGGGGCUUGGAAACCUUUCCUCUGCCCGGGCUGGUGCGGAGGUUGGCCUCUGGUCUUGGGCCUGCCCCUGGGUGUUGACAUGGGGAACGGAGUUCUACCCGCCUGUGGUCUCCGGAUGCCGGAUUCUAGGCUGUGAAUUCUCCACCAGCUGACUUGGGUGCAUGUAAGUGAGUGUCCCUGUUUCCUCUUUCUUGGCUCAUGUGUGAACAUAAAGGUGCUCUUGCAUCACAGGCUUUCCUGUAUGUGCUUAUGUCUGUAAAAGCACUUUGCCAUCCUAAAGGACUGCUGAGCUGUUCACGUCAGCAACUCUUUCUGUCUUACUGUAUGUAAAAUAACAGCCAGAAUCCUCGUCCUGUUGUUGCAGGUUUAAGGAGUUCGUGAGUAAACAUGUUCACUCAAUGUGUCACCGGAUCUGUGUGCGAGCACUGACAGCCAUCAUCACCUACCACGACAGGUGAGCGUGCCUUGUACCCAUACGAAGGGAGGUGGCGCUGGCGGGACACCACCCACCUAUGCUUGGCCAACAGGAGGUUGCUUCUGAGCUUUGAAGUGUUCACACUAAUUUUGGUUGUUUUGCAUACCUUUUAAACCCAGGGAAGACAGACCGAGAAACGGUGGCAUCUGUGUGGCUAAUCACACCUCGCCGAUCGAUGUGAUCAUCUUGGCCAGUGAUGGCUAUUAUACCAUGGUAAGAGCUUUUUCUGGCAGGUUCUUGAGGCAAGACUUCCUACGUUAGACCGGUCAGGGCUAGGAGGCUCCUGGACCCUUCACAUAAAGACUUUUAAGCGUGGACCCCACCUACACUCUCACUGGGGGUGCUCUGUGGGACUGUGAUAGGAGAUGCCCUGGGCAGAGUGAGUGGUGAGUGUGGCUGGAGAGGAUGCUGAGGGUGUUCAGGUAGACCCGCAAUGGGAGAGGGAGGGGCUGGCAAGGAGUGUUUCCAGGGCAUCUGAGAAUCUGCCCAGGGAGGGGCAGUUUUACACAGAUAAUCGCUCUACUUUAGUGUUUUAGUAUUUUGUCUUAGGGGUUUCAGUUAUAUUUUUAAUGACCUAUUUCUAGUAUGACUAAUUAAAAGAAGUUUAAGAUUUGGGGAGACCUGGUAGUGGUUUCUUGGCAGUGAGCAACCUCUUGCCAGCAGGCAUUAGAGGUGAGAAGUAGGACCAGCAAGCGUUAGUUAAAUCUUAAUUUAUUUUUUUAGAAAUUUUGAGUAGAGACGAGGUUUCACCAUCUUGGCCAGGGUGGCCUUGAACUCCUGACCUCGUGAUCCACCCGCAUCAGCCUCCCAAAGUGUUGGGAUUACAGGUGUGAGCCACCGCACCUGGCCUAAAUUUUAUAUAUAUAUAUAUAUAUAUACACAUAUAUAUAUAUAUUAUAAUUUUCUUUUCUUUUUCUUUUCUUUUUUUUUUUUUGAGAUGGGGUUUUGCUCUUGUUACCCAGGCUGGGGUGCAAUGGCGCGAUCUCGGCUCACCACAACCUCCGCCUCCUGGGUUCAGGCAAUUCUCCUGCCUCAGCCUCCUGAGUAGCUGGGACUACAGGGUUGAUACUGAUUUUCAUAUGAUAACGUUCGGCAAAGGCCUCCCUGCAUUUGAAGAGCAGGUUUUCAUUUAUAUGUAUUUUUGGGAGAAAAAGUAAUAAAAGUUGUAAAUAUAAACACACACACGCACACACACACUAUGAAAUGUACCUCAAGGCCUCUCCUGAGGCACUCAGCCAUUGACUGUGAUAAGGCUGUGCAGCUGAGGUGCAUGAAUUUCAUGUGUAUGCAACACGAGAGAUAUUCCCAGGAAGUUAAGCUUCAUACUAGGAAAUGUCUGUGUAGGUGUAUUUGUUCGUUUUAAAUGCUUAAGGAGUGAUCAGAGACUAUGGUGGAGAGGGGAAGCUGUUCUUCCAAAGAGAAAUUCGCUCAUUUUCUAACGAAUUCUUCCUCCUUCCGUUGCUUCCCUGCAGUAGAAAUGUGGGGGAGACCAAAGCUGCGAUUCCAGUCCACACCAGAGCCCAGAAAGAUUCCCAGGACCCGGGAGAUGCUUCCUGAGCAUCAGGAGCCUGCGGAACGCAGGAAGGAUGGUCCUACAUGAACCAGGAGGAACG
ensembl:lncRNA